rnacentral:rRNA from 1 species
AACGAACGCUGGCGGCAGGCUUAACACAUGCAAGUCGAACGCCCGUAGCAAUACGGGAGUGGCGGACGGGUGAGUAACGCGUGGGAACGUGCCCUGAGGUACGGAAUAACUGCGGGAAACUGCAGCUAAUACCGUAUGAGCCCCGCAAGGGGGAAAGAUUUAUCGCCUUAGGAGCGGCCCGCGUCGGAUUAGCUAGUUGGUGGGGUAACGGCUUACCAAGGCUUCGAUCCGUAGCUGGUCUGAGAGGAUGAUCAGCCACACUGGGACUGAGACACGGCCCAGACUCCUACGGGAGGCAGCAGUGGGGAAUCUUGCGCAAUGGGGGCAACCCUGACGCAGCCAUGCCGCGUGAAUGAUGAAGGCCUUAGGGUUGUAAAGUUCUUUUGCCCGUGACGAUGAUGACGGUAACGGGAGAAUAAGCUCCGGCUAACUUCGUGCCAGCCGCCGCAGUAAAAC